UCGGAGAAUUUGGUGUGGUCAAAACACCUUUCACAUGAGCAGUACAUGGUACUAGAUACGAUUAAUGUAAUGUAAUGGCUGUGUUGUGGUCAUUGUGUUCCUUAUGUGGAGGUCGUCGUCACAGACGACUGCCAAGGCCAAACAGAAAACAUGCUUCGUGGUGGCCAAGUCCAAGGGACUGUGCAAUCUGAUCUAAGCUGAUGUUUCAUGUAUACUGGUGCACACUAUGUACAGUAUACUUGAAACGGUUUCAGCACCCAAAAAGGAAAAAACAAGAUGACGAAACGGUCUCAGGCCUCAUCACCUGGCGCUUGGCAGCGUCGAGGAGAUGCCGGCGAGUUGGUGGAGCAGGGCGCUGCCGGCCGCUCGUGCCCACCCACGGAUCACGGAUGAGGCGGCGCGGCGCUGAGGCACCCGUAGCGUCCCGGCACGUCACGAGUUCCUGACGCAGAUGACAUGAAGGUGCCCGAUUCGCGACGAGAGG
rnacentral:lncRNA from 1 species